GACGAACGCUGGCGGCGUGCUUAACACAUGCAAGUCGAACGGAGUGGCGAACGGGUGAGUAACACGUGGGUGACCUGCCCUGCACUUCGGGAUAAGCCUGGGAAAUUGCGUCUAAUACCGGAUAGUGUGGGAUGGGCCCGCGGCCUAUCAGCGUGUUGGUGGGGUAAGGGCCUACCAAGGCGGCGACGGGUCGCCGGCCUGAGAGGGUGGACGGCCCCAUUGGGCCUGAGAGACGGACCAGACUCGGACGGGAGGCAGUGGUGGGGAAUAUUGCACAAUGGGCGCAAGCCUGAGGCAGCGACGCUGGGUGGGGGAUGACGGCCUUCGGGUUGUAAACUCCUUUCACCAUCGACGCGGUAGCUGUAGAAGAAGCACCGGCUAACUACGUGCCAGCAGCCGCGGUAAUUC
rnacentral:rRNA from 1 species